AACGAACGCUGGCGGCAUGCCUAACACAUGCCAGUCGAACGAUUGCCUUCGGGUGAUAGUGGCGCACGGGUGCGUAACGCGUGGGAAUCUGCCCUUAGGUUCGGAAUAACAGCUGGAAACGGCUGCUAAUACCGGAUGAUAUCGCGAGAUCAAAGAUUUAUCGCCUGAGGAUGAGCCCGCGUUGGAUUAGGUAGUUGGUGGGGUAAAGGCCUACCAAGCCGACGAUCCAUAGCUGGUCUGAGAGGAUGAUCAGCCACACUGGGACUGAGACACGGCCCAGACUCCUACGGGAGGCAGCAGUGGGGAAUAUUGGACAAUGGGCGCAAGCCUGAUCCAGCAAUGCCGCGUGAGUGAUGAAGGCCCUAGGGUUGUAAAGCUCUUUUACCCGGGAAGAUAAUGACUGUACCGGGAGAAUAAGCCCCGGCUAACUCCG
rnacentral:rRNA from 1 species